rnacentral:rRNA from 1 species
AAGCCUGAUGCAGCGACGCCGCGUGAGGGAUGACGGCCUUCGGGUUGUAAACCUCUUUCAGCAGGGAAGAAGCGAAAGUGACGGUACCUGCAGAAGAAGCGCCGGCUAACUACGUGCCAGCAGCCGCGGUAAUACGUAGGGCGCAAGCGUUGUCCGGAAUUAUUGGGCGUAAAGAGCUCGUAGGCGGCUUGUCGCGUCGGUUGUGAAAGCCCGGGGCUUAACCCCGGGUCUGCAGUCGAUACGGGCAGGCUAGAGUUCGGUAGGGGAGAUCGGAAUUCCUGGUGUAGCGGUGAAAUGCGCAGAUAUCAGGAGGAACACCGGUGGCGAAGGCGGAUCUCUGGGCCGAUACUGACGCUGAGGAGCGAAAGCGUGGGGAGCGAACAGGAUUAGAUACCCUGGUAGUCCACGCCGUAAACGGUGGGCACUAGGUGUGGGCAACAUUCCACGUUGUCCGUGCCGCAGCUAACGCAUUAAGUGCCCCGCCUGGGGAGUACGGCCGCAAGGCUAAAACUCAAAGGAAUUGACGG